ACGUAGGUGGCAAGCGUUAUCCGGAAUUAUUGGGCGUAAAGCGCGCGUAGGCGGUUUUUUAAGUCUGAUGUGAAAGGCCACGGCUCAACCGUGGAGGGUCAUUGGAAACUGGAAAACUUGAGUGCAGAAGAGGAAAGUGGAAUUCCAUGUGUAGCGGUGAAAUGCGCAGAGAUAUGGAGGAACACCAGUGGCGAAGGCGACUUUCUGGUCUGUAACUGACGCUGAUGUGCGAAAGCGUGGGGAUCAAACAG
rnacentral:rRNA from 1 species